rnacentral:rRNA from 1 species
AAUUGUAGUUUAAAGAAGCGUUUUCGGUGGCAGUCUCGGUAUAAAUCCUUUGGAAUAGGGUAUCAUAGAGGGUGAGAAUCCCGUCUUUGACUGAGAAUUUGCUACUAUGUGAUACGUUUUCAAAGAGUCGAGUUGUUUGGGAAUGCAGCUCAAAAUGGGUGGUAAAUUUCAUCUAAAGCUAAAUAUUGGCGAGAGACCGAUAGCGAACAAGUACCGUGAGGGAAAGAUGAAAAGAACUUUGAAAAGAGAGUUAAACAGUGCGUGAAAUUGUUGAAAGGGAAACGCUUGAAACCAGUCAUGUGGUUGGAAAAUCAGUGUUCAACUGGGGGGAAUG